AACGAACGCUGGCGGCAGGCCUAACACAUGCAAGUCGAGCGAGCAUUUCGGUGCUAGCGGCGGACGGGUUAGUAACGCGUGGGAACGUGCCCUUUGCUACGGAAUAGUCCUGGGAAACUGGGGGUAAUACCGUAUGUGCCCUUCGGGGGAAAGAUUUAUCGGCAAAGGAUCGGCCCGCGUUGGAUUAGGUAGUUGGUGGGGUAAUGGCCUACCAAGCCGACGAUCCAUAGCUGGUUUGAGAGGAUGAUCAGCAACACUGGGACUGAGACACGGCCCAGACUCCUACGGGAGGCAGCAGUGGGGAAUCUUAGACAAUGGGCGCAAGCCUGAUCUAGCCAUGCCGCGUGGACGAUGAAGGCCUUAGGGUUGUAAAGUCCUUUCAGCUGGGAAGAUAAUGACGGUACUAUAUGAAUAAGCACCGGCUAACUCCGUG
rnacentral:rRNA from 1 species